UUCCUAUGAGUUGAUGUUGGGCCAGUCUAGAGGACUUGAGGCCGAAUCUCUAUCCAUGGCUUGAGUACCAAGGUGUUGAUUGAGCGAGCUAGUGUUAUGAGCUUAUAAGUUCAGUAUUGUCCCUAAUUGUGGUGAUGGAGGCUGGAUAGCUACGUGGUGUAUAUGUUGGUGCCAAUGUGUCCAUAUGACUUUGAAGUGUUGAAGAAGGUCUGCUAGGUGGUAGACUAACCAUUAAAUGUUUGAUUCUCAUUGUGGAAUGGAGAUAUAGCCCGAGUUAUGGGGGCAUGAAGAAUAUUCGAGUCUCCUAGCUGGGAGUGUGUGUGUUGUGGUAUGAGUCCAGAC
rnacentral:lncRNA from 1 species